CUUGGGUGGAUUUCGUAAAGAGAUAUUGCACACGGGUACGCCAGAGGCCCAGGCAUAGAUUAUUCAUAGAUAAAGCGGGAGGGGGGUUGGUUUUAACUAACAAUUAUUUGUAAUAGGAAUGAAUUACGAGACGAGAGAAAUAAUGAAUACUGAAAUGUUAACAUUGAGUUGAAAAAAAAUGAAGGGAGGGUUAAACCCCUCCUUUCUUAUUACGUCCCUGAGGUGUGCGUUCGCCGACUGAUUAUCCACCGGAUUUGAAUAGGUUUUAAAAAUCUUUCUGACAACAAGACUAUCGGUCUAAUACGAUAUACGUAUAAAGGUAGCAAUGAUAUCAAUCGCUUUUUACGUGACGCUAAUUGAUAAUGCGAAGCGUAGUGAUUUUCCUAGUUGAUAUCGUUUACAGGAGGUUACCGACAUUUCGUAAUCUAGAUAGCGCUGGCGUAUACUUUGCGAUGAAAUUAAUUUCAAUUAAAUUCAAGUAAAUAGAGUCGUCGAAUCUUUAUCACAGUAUACCGUUUAUCAAAAUAAAAAAAAAAACGUAUUCAUAAUAUCGUACAUAUACUCGUAUAGUAUUGUAGCAUAAUAUAUGGUUUGGGUAGAAAAAACGACAAAAGUGAUGUCGUGGGGAUAACGGUCUCUCGGAGGAUUGGCGAUCUGUUUCACAUAAUAUAAUACUCAAUGAUGCGUGUAAAUGAACGCGUUUAACUACGUUAUUUAGACAUUAAAAAUAAAGACA